rnacentral:snoRNA from 8 species
AUCCAUGAUGACGAUUCAAGAUAUUCCCGUUCAGAGCAUGAAUCUGGUGGCUAGAUAUGACUAUGCUCAUGUUUCUUCCACCUUUGAUGAUCUUUCCUUGUUCUUCAAUGAACAUGGAUGAAGGGAAUAUGUUCUGAGUGGA